GUGGGGAAUAUUGCACAAUGGGGGAAACCCUGAUGCAGCAACGCCGCGUGAGCGAAGAAGGCCUUCGGGUUGUAAAGCUCUGUCUUCCCUGACGAUAAUGACGGUAAGGGAGGAGGAAGCCACGGCUAACUACGUGCCAGCAGCCGCGGUAAUACGUAGGUGGCGAGCGUUGUCCGGAAUUACUGGGCGUAAAGGGUGCGUAGGCGGUUCUCUAAGUGGGAUGUGAAAUCCAUGGGCUUAACCCAUGAACUGCAUUCCAAACUGGAGAGCUAGAGUGCAGGAGAGGAAAGCGGAAUUCCCAGUGUAGCGGUGAAAUGCGUAGAUAUUGGGAGGAACACCAGUGGCGAAGGCGGUUUUCUGGACUGUAACUGACGCUGAGGCACGAAAGCGUGGGGAGCAAACAGGAUUAGAUACCCUAGUAGUCC
rnacentral:rRNA from 1 species